GUAUUUAAAAACCCACAAAGCAGCACAUAUACUAAAAAUACUACAGAAGAGAUUAGCAUUGCCCUGUGCAAGAAUGAGAUGCUGAUUCAUGAAUCAUUCCAUAGUUUU
ensembl:snRNA U6 U6 spliceosomal RNA